rnacentral:tRNA from 1 species
GGUCUUAUAUUCAUAAUUAUAUGAUAACAGAAUGCAAUUCUGUAGGAGUAAUAAAUUUACUAAGGCUU